AACGAACGCUGGCGGCAUGCCUAACACAUGCAAGUCGAACGAGACCUUCGGGUCUAGUGGCGCACGGGUGCGUAACGCGUGGGGAUCUGCCCUUGGGUUCGGAAUAACAGUUGGAAACGACUGCUAAUACCGGAUGAUGACGUAAGUCCAAAGAUUUAUCGCCCAAGGAUGAGCCCGCGUAGGAUUAGCUAGUUGGUGAGGUAAAGGCUCACCAAGGCGACGAUCCUUAGCUGGUCUGAGAGGAUGAUCAGCCACACUGGGACUGAGACACGGCCCAGACUCCUACGGGAGGCAGCAGUGGGGAAUAUUGGACAAUGGGCGAAAGCCUGAUCCAGCAAUGCCGCGUGAGUGAUGAAGGCCUUAGGGUUGUAAAGCUCUUUUACCCGGGAUGAUAAUGACAGUACCGGGAGAAUAAGCUCCGGCUAACUCCGUG
rnacentral:rRNA from 1 species